GACGAACGCUGGCGGCGUGCUUAACACAUGCAAGUCGAACGGAAAGGCCCUGCUUUUGUGGGGUGCUCGAGUGGCGAACGGGUGAGUAACACGUGAGUAACCUGCCCUUGACUUUGGGAUAACUUCAGGAAACUGGGGCUAAUACCGGAUAGGAGCUCCUGCUGCAUGGUGGGGGUUGGAAAUUUUCGGCGGUUGGGGAUGGACUCGCGGCUUAUCAGCUUGUUGGUGGGGUAGUGGCUUACCAAGGCUUUGACGGGUAGCCGGCCUGAGAGGGUGACCGGCCACAUUGGGACUGAGAUACGGCCCAGACUCCUACGGGAGGCAGCAGUGGGGAAUAUUGAACAAUGGGCGGAAGCCUGAUGCAGCAACGCCGCGUGCGGGAUGACGGCCUUCGGGUUGUAAACCGCUUUCGCCUGUGACGAAGCGUGAGUGACGGUAAUGGGUAAAGAAGCACCGGCUAACUACGUG
rnacentral:rRNA from 1 species